rnacentral:rRNA from 1 species
GACGAACGCUGGCGGCGUGCUUAACACAUGCAAGUCGAACGGAAAGGCUCCAGCUUGCUGGAGUACUCGAGUGGCGAACGGGUGAGUAACACGUGGGUAAUCUGCCCUGCACUCUGGGAUAAGCCUGGGAAACUGGGUCUAAUACUGGAUAUGACCUUUCUCCUUAUGGGGUUUGGUGGAAAGUUUUUCGGUGUAGGAUAAGCCCGCGGCCUAUCAGCUUGUUGGUGGGGUGAUGGCCUACCAAGGCGACGACGGGUAGCCGGCCUGAGAGGGUGAUCGGCCACAUUGGGACUGAGAUACGGCCCAGACUCCUACGGGAGGCAGCAGUGGGGAAUAUUGCACAAUGGGCGGAAGCCUGAUGCAGCGACGCCGCGUGAGGGAUGACGGCCUUCGGGUUGUAAACCUCUUUCAGCAGGGACGAAGCGUAAGUGACGGUACCUGCAGAAGAAGCACCGGCUAACUACGUG